rnacentral:piRNA from 10 species
CGGAUAGCUCAGUCGGUAGAGCAUCAGAC